UUUUCCUGGAUGAAGGCUGGUUCCUGUGAAGGAGUGUUGUGUAGCUAGAGAUCCUAUCGCUAGUUGGGAAGGGAAGAAAUCUGAGAAGAGAAGCUUUGUGAAUACUCGUGCAUGUAGUUCUUGGGAAUUGCCUUCUUUUGUUUGUAACCUUAAGCACUUCUUUCGUGUGCAGAUUUGCUGCAUGUUUUCUUUAGAGAGGUGGCACAACUUCCAAUUGAGAGGUGGCCUAUGUUUUGUUGUAUGCCUUUUGCUUUUAAUAUGCUGAAUCAAACUAAAACUCAAUUUUCUCUGAUGAAAGAGCUCCUUGGCAUUUGUAAACGGAUUAUCUUGGUUUGUAUAGUGUUUCUUAAUAACAGCAGCGGUUGUUUCUAUUGUAGUCCGCUUUUUAGGACCCCAGGAAGGCUCGAGCUGAAACUGAGGAAAUGAAGUAUAUUCCCUUGUUCAGAAAGAAUCUAGGUACUAAAAACCAGUAUAUGCUUACCUGUUCUGAGAGCACUUGCAAGUCUGAUCCUUUAUUCGAAGACACUUACGUUUGCCUUCAGGAAUAAGAAUUGAUGUGUCCCCUCUUGACAUCUGGUUUCUCUCUUUUUUUUUUUUUUUGUCAGAACUCUUUUCUGGAAUGUACUCUGAAUAGUAUUUGUCCCUUUUAGACUUCUUUUGGUGUAUUUCCAGUCACUUUAGGUGACAAAAGACUGGCUAGAGGGACCUGUCCUCUGCAUCCACGCGUGACUGCUAACAUGAGUAGGAAGGGGUUUAUAAAGCAGCCUGGGUCUAUUAGUGGCUUACAUAAAGUACAAUUAAUAUCUCUAUUAAAAUCAAUAUGAAAGUAGAGUAAAACUGUAAAAUACAAGUGAAAUAUUUAUACACAUGCAUGUGUACACAAUUCUAGAAAGUCUGAUGUAUCCCAAACUACGAUUUGUCUGCAAAUGCAGGAAAGCCCAAUCUGGUUUUUACUGUUUGUGCUUCAACGUGGUAAAUAAGAUGAUUAUUUCAAACUGUAUUCAAAUGACUUAAAAGCCUCUGCUAACAUCAGUCUAGAAAUAAAGCGUUAGUGAAGCAACUUGUAUUUUUUUUCACUUCUGAGUAUUACCAAAUACUACGCAUCUAAAAUUGGUUUCUUAAGAAAAACACAAAGUCUUGUUAGGUGUAAAAACUUUUUGUGCUUUAAUGUAAUACUCUACAGUGAAUUCCACUUUUUUUAAAAUAAGUUUUGUAUCUUCAAGUAACGUAAUGUACUAGAGAGCUUCAUGUCCAUGUGAUUCUUUUUAUUAGUGACGCUUUUGGAAAGCUAUGUGUGUUCUCAUUUUAAACCAAGCAAUAGUAUGAUAGACAUCAAUUGUGAUGUAUUUAAUGUCUUAGAGCCAUAGUCUUGAUAUGUAAUUGCUGCAGAAAGCACUUGGUAGACAUUAGUCCAUUAGAAACACAGGUCUGAUGCAAUUGAUGGCUCAAAUGGUCAGAAGGAAGCAGGCGGUAUAACAAUAGUGUGAAUAGCUUUGUGUGGCACUUCACAUUGAGGAGUAUUUAAUAUCCUAAACUGCUGGAAUAAUAUUAACACUUAUAUAUUUUGAAGGGAAGUAUGUUUUUCAGAGUAAAAAUAAGUGUUCAUUAAAAUUUUUUUGCAUUUGUCUUAAAAUUUUGUGAAUUGAAAAUACUGUUUCUGUGACUACCAUUUCUGCAGAUAUUUGAUUGCAUUGUAUUGUAAUUUAUGGUACAAAAAAAUCAAACCCUAGCAGCAGGAUUUGAAUUAGAAUGUAGAAGGCUUAUAGCUUUGUUUGGCCCUGGGCACAAGUAAUAAAAUCCCAGCUAUAAGUACCGUUGGGGUUUAUGGAAUGAAGACAUCUGCAUUAUUAUAUUAAAUGUUCUUUAGUGUAAUAAAUAUAACUGACAGAAGUGCAUGACUUCCUUUAUGAAAAAUAUAUUAAUAACAGUAGUCUUUAAAUACUGAAGAAACGGACUAUUAAAAUUUUAUGCUUCCAGUUAUAGACAUCUGUUGAACUUUUUGUUGGUAUUAUUGGUUUACUGCUGGGUAUACCUAAUAAGACUUUUAGUUCACAAUUAAAUUCAGAAAUGCUGAUGAAAAGAAGAUAUUAACCUUCUGCUGAUUAAUAUCGUUUUAAGAGUUAAUAUUUUUAGAAUUGCAGUAAUAUGUUUAUGAAUGUGAGAUAAUGAAUUGCAUCAGAAACUGUUUCUUUUGAUUUCUCCAGGAAGCUCUGGGAGAAUAUUAAAUUUGCACUUUU
ensembl:lncRNA